UACAGAGGUGGCAAGCGUUGUUCGGAAUUACUGGGCGUAAAGGGCGCGUAGGCGGUUCGUUAAGUCCUGUGUGAAAUCCCCCGGCUCAACUGGGGAACUGCACAGGAAACUAGCGGGCUUGAGUUCGGGAGAGGGAAGCGGAAUUCCUGGUGUAGCGGUGAAAUGCGCAGAUAUCAGGAAGAACACCCGUGGCGAAGGCGGCUCUCUGGGACGGUACUGACGCUGAGACGCGAAAGCGUGGGGAGCGAACAGG
rnacentral:rRNA from 1 species